AGUGAACGCUGGCGGUAGGCCUAACACAUGCAAGUCGAACGGCAGCACAGUAAGAGCUUGCUCUUACGGGUGGCGAGUGGCGGACGGGUGAGGAAUACAUCGGAAUCUACUUUUUCGUGGGGGAUAACGUAGGGAAACUUACGCUAAUACCGCAUACGACCUACGGGUGAAAGCAGGGGAUCUUCGGACCUUGCGCGAUUGAAUGAGCGGAUGUCGGAUUAGCUAGUUGGCGGGGUAAAGGCCCACCAAGGCGACGAUCCGUAGCUGGUCUGAGAGGAUGAUCAGCCACGCUGGAACUGAGACACGGUCCAGACUCCUACGGGAGGCAGCAGUGGGGAAUAUUGGACAAUGGGCGCAAGCCUGAUCCAGCCAUACCGCGUGGGUGAAGAAGGCCUUCGGGUUGUAAAGCCCUUUUGUUGGGAAAGAAAAGCAGCAGGUUAAUACCCCGCUGUUCUGACGGUACCCAAAGAAUAAGCACCGGCUAACUUCGUG
rnacentral:rRNA from 1 species